rnacentral:rRNA from 1 species
GUCCACGCCGUAAACGAUGAGUGCUAGGUGUGGGGGUGUCGACUCCCUCCGUGCCGAAGCUAACGCAUUAAGCACUCCGCCUGGGGAGUACGGCCGCAAGGCUAAAACUCAAAGGAAUUGACGGGGCCCGCACAAGCAGCGGAGCAUGUGGUUUAAUUCGACGCGACGCGAAGAACCUUACCAAGGCUUGACAUCUACUGGAAAAGCGUGGAAACACGUUCCCUCUUCGGAGUCAGUAGACAGGUGGUGCAUGGCUGUCGU